rnacentral:rRNA from 1 species
AUGAAUCUCAUAAGUUGGAACUGCCGAUGAGGGGGGAAUUCCCGGACAGUUCGUGAAAUUGCGACUUUAUCUCAGUCGCACUCCCCCAAGUUUGUAUUUUUAUGUGAAACAAGGCAAAAGGAGAGUAAGAUGAGGAGGUUGCGUGGUCGGUUGGGCUUGAAGGGCUUCAAAGGGGUUGAUAGUAAUGGAAUGAGUGGGGGAUUAGAUUUUUAUUUGCAUGAGUCCUACAUUGUGGAGAUCCUAGACAAAGAGGACAGAUAUAUUGAUGCUCUGGUUAGAAUGUAUGAGGGUGGAGAACAGUGGAGAAUCACAUGUGUGUAUGGAGAACCAAGGACUGAGAAUCGUCACCUCAUGUGGUCAAAACUACAAAGUCUAAAAAAUGUUACUAAUCUUCCAUGGUUAGUGAUUGGAGAUUUCAAUGAAGCUCUAUGGAGCUUUGAACAUUUCUCCACGACGCCAAGAGCUGAAUCGCAGAUGCUUGCUUUCAGAGAUACGUUGGAGGUGUGUGGACUAGUUGAUUUGGGCUUUGUUGGGGUACCUUUCACUUAUGACAAUAUGCGGAGUGGUCAUAAUAAUGUCAGAGUUCGACUAGACAAGGCGGUUGCAAGUAAUUCAUGGAGGAAUCUGUUUGCAUUCUCAUCGGUGGUCCAUGUACCAUCGCCACGCUCAGACCACGUCGCCAUCGUUUUGAAAGGGGAGACUGAACAACAUAAAAUCAUGGGUGGUGGAAGGCGGUACGAGCUUCUCUAG